UACGGAGGGUGCGAGCGUUGUCCGGAAUCACUGGGCGUAAAGGGUGCGUAGGCGGCUUUCUAAGUUGGAUGUGAAAACUCUGGGCUCAACCCAGAGCCUGCAUCCAAAACUGGAGAGCUAGGGUUCUGGAGGGGAAAGCGGAAUUCCUGGUGUAGCGGUGAAAUGCGUAGAUAUCAGGAGGAACACCGGUGGCGAAGGCGGCUUUCUGGACAGAUACCGACGCUGAGGCACGAAAGCUAGGGAGCAAACAGG
rnacentral:rRNA from 1 species